AGUCGAGCGGUAGAGAGAAGCUUGCUUCUCUUGAGAGCGGCGGACGGGUGAGUAAUGCCUAGGAAUCUGCCUGGUAGUGGGGGAUAACGUUCGGAAACGGACGCUAAUACCGCAUACGUCCUACGGGAGAAAGCAGGGGACCUUCGGGCCUUGCGCUAUCAGAUGAGCCUAGGUCGGAUUAGCUAGUUGGUGAGGUAAUGGCUCACCAAGGCGACGAUCCGUAACUGGUCUGAGAGGAUGAUCAGUCACACUGGAACUGAGACACGGUCCAGACUCCUACGGGAGGCAGCAGUGGGGAAUAUUGGACAAUGGGCGAAAGCCUGAUCCAGCCAUGCCGCGUGUGUGAAGAAGGUCUUCGGAUUGUAAAGCACUUUAAGUUGGGAGGAAGGGCAGUUACCUAAUACGUGAUUGUUUUGACGUUACCGACAGAAUAAGCACCGGCUAACUCUGUGCCAGCAGCCGCGGUAAUACA
rnacentral:rRNA from 1 species